CCUACGGGAGGCAGCAGUGGGGAAUUUUGGACAAUGGGCGAAAGCCUGAUCCAGCAAUGCCGCGUGAGUGAAGAAGGCCUUCGGGUUGUAAAGCUCUUUUGUCAGGGAAGAAACGGUGAGAGCUAAUAUCUUUUGCUAAUGACGGUACCUGAAGAAUAAGCACCGGCUAACUACGUGCCAGCAGCCGCGGUAAUACGUAGGGUGCAAGCGUUAAUCGGAAUUACUGGGCGUAAAGCGUGCGCAGGCGGUUUUGUAAGUCUGAUGUGAAAUCCCCGGGCUCAACCUGGGAAUUGCAUUGGAGACUGCAAGGCUAGAAUCUGGCAGAGGGGGGUAGAAUUCCACGUGUAGCAGUGAAAUGCGUAGAUAUGUGGAGGAACACCGAUGGCGAAGGCAGCCCCCUGGGUCAAGAUUGACGCUCAUGCACGAAAGCGUGGGGAGCAAACAGGAUUAGAUACCCUGGUAGUCCACGCCCUAAACGAUGUCUACUAGUUGUCGGGUCUUAAUUGACUUGGUAACGCAGCUAACGCGUGAAGUAGACCGCCUGGGGAGUACGGUCGCAAGNUUAAAACNCAAAUGAAUUGACGG
rnacentral:rRNA from 1 species